rnacentral:piRNA from 1 species
UUCAAGCAGAGUGUUUGGAGCAAUCAAGGAC